rnacentral:rRNA from 1 species
CCUACGUGAGGCAGCAGUGAGGAAUAUUGGUCAAUGGGCGCGAGCCUGAACCAGCCAAGUAGCGUGAAGGAUGACUGCCCUACGGGUUGUAAACUUCUUUUAUAAAGGAAUAAAGUGAGGCACGUGUGCCUUUUUGUAUGUACUUUAUGAAUAAGGAUCGGCUAACUCCGUGCCAGCAGCCGCGGUAAUACGGAGGAUCCGAGCGUUAUCCGGAUUUAUUGGGUUUAAAGGGAGCGUAGGUGGGUUUUUAAGUCAGUUGUGAAAGUUUGCGGCUCAACCGUAAAAUUGCAAUUGAUACUGGCAGUCUUGAGUACAGUUGAGGUAGGCGGAAUUCGAGGUGUAGCGGUGAAAUGCUUAGAUAUCACGAAGAACUCCGAUUGCGAAGGCAGCUUACUAAACUGCCACUGACAUUGAUGCUCGAAAGUGUGGGUAUCAAACAGGAUUAGAUACCCUUGUAGUC